CUGUGGAGGAGAAAGAAUCUAGAUUAUGUGAGACUUCCUAGACUAAUAAAGGAUUCUGAAUUUAUUCUAAAAGCAACGGAAAGCCAAAGCAUAAUUUUAAAUAGAAAGUAACAAGGUUAAGACUUAUUUUUAAACAAUCACUUGAAAAGACAGAAUUGUUAUUUGUUCACAAUAAUCCAAAAGAAUUACAAACAAUUAGAAAUGAUGGAGUUUAUCCAAGUUGAUGGUUACAAAAUCAAUACCAGCAAUAAUCAAAUGAAAUAAAAAGGAUGCUAUUUAUAUUGCAAAAAAAAUUUUAAUCAUAUACCAGGAAUAAAUUUAAUAAAGCAUGUGUAAAAGGCCUUUAUGAAGAAAACUGCAAAAUACAGAAGAAUCAAAUAAAUAGCAAGAUAAACCAUGUAUAGUCAAUGCAAUUCCAAAUAAUAUCCCCAAAGGAAUUUGAUAAAAUAGUUUUAAGUUAUGAAAGAAUGAAAGUCUAAGAGUCAAGAUAGUUCUGAAAAUUAAUAAAGGGGAGGCCUGGAAUCCCAGAUUUCAAAGCUUAAUAUAGAACUAUGUGAAAUAAAAAAAUGUAGUACUGGUGUUUAAAAAAGAUUAAGACAAAAAAUUAAAUUAAAAAAAAAAAA